rnacentral:rRNA from 1 species
UACGAAGGGGGCUAGCGUUGCUCGGAUUGACUGGGCGUAAAGGGCGCGUAGGCGGUUCGUACAGUCAGACGUGAAAUCCUGGGCUCAACCUGGGGGCUGCGUUUGAUACGUGCGGACUUGAGUGCGGAAGAGGGUCGUGGAAUUCCCAGUGUAGAGGUGAAAUUCGUAGAUAUUGGGAAGAACACCGGUGGCGAAGGCGGCGACCUGGUCCUUGACUGACGCUGAGGCGCGAAAGCGUGGGGAGCAAACAGG